UACGAAGGGGGCUAGCGUUGUUCGGAAUUACUGGGCGUAAAGCGCACGUAGGCGGGUUGUUAAGUCAGGGGUGAAAUCCUGGAGCUCAACUCCAGAACUGCCUUUGAUACUGGCAACCUAGAGACUGGAAGAGGUUAGUGGAAUUCCCAGUGUAGAGGUGAAAUUCGUAGAUAUUGGGAAGAACACCAGUGGCGAAGGCGACUUUCUGGUCUGUAACUGACACUGAGGCGCGAAAGCGUGGGGAGCGAACAGG
rnacentral:rRNA from 1 species